rnacentral:rRNA from 1 species
GCAAAAAACUUGGUAGAAGGCUCAUAACUGACUUGACCUUGACCAUGGGUCGUCCAUGGGUGGCUCUGUCCUCCAUUCAGCCGCUUCGUGGAAGCUUCCUCCUUGGUGUGCAAUAUUGCCUUUAUAUGAUGGCAAUACUCCUUGGUGGAAGCUCAUAAAAGGUGCUGGCUAGCACAUGGUUUUAUGGCAAUACUGCCUGGUAUUAUGCCUAGAGAUACCUCCAAACGAGUGUGCUCUUACCCACUCCAAGUGGCAGCCCAAGUGGAUGCGUAGUACUGCUGUCCUAGUCAUCAAUCUUGACUGCCCUCAUCAGUCAGCUGAACAUGCCAAUCUGCUUGUUCACACUAUUGGUCCUCUUCCAUUCUAUACACACAUCGGCUUCUUCCUCCGAGUAUCAAAGCAGAGCACACAAACUCUUCUCCAUGUCUCCCCUCUACAUACUAUCACUCGGGCUUCUCCUUCUGCACGUUCCUCAUUGGUGCUCCUCCUCUGCAGCUGCAACCAACACCCUGACGGCGGGCCAGUCGCUCGCCGUCGGCGGCAGCAAGCUCGUCUCGGGGAACGGCAAGUUCGCACUCGGCUUCUUCCAGCCAGCAGCAGGCACCAUCAGUAAGUCCCAGAACACCUCCGGCUCCAGCUGGUACCUUGGCAUAUGGUUCAACAAGUUACCUGUUUUUACUGUCGUGUGGGUUGCCAAUAGGGAUCAGCCCAUCACCGGCCCCAGCCUCAACCGAACACAGCUCCAGAUAUCAAGCGAUGGCAAUCUUGUCAUCGUACACAAUGAUUCCGUAGUUUGGUCCACUCGCAUUGUCAAUAAUAGGACACAAGCCAGCAGCAUAAACACCACUGCUACUGCUGCUGUUCUCUUGAACAGUGGAAACCUUGCCCUUACAGUCACAGAGAGCCCAUCAUCAUCGGACCUACCGUUGUGGCAGAGCUUCGAUCACCCAACAGAUAUUGUGCUUCCUGGUGCCAAGGUUGGCCGAAACAAGAUCACUGGUUUGAAUCGUAAGGGCGUCUCAAAGAAGAGCCUCAUUGAUCCGGGUCUCGGCUCAUACAGCGUUGAACUAGACAUCAGCGGACAGGUCGUCCUCAAGCGCCUAAACCCCUCAGUGGUGUAUUGGCAUUGGGCAUCCUCCAAAACAUCAUCAUUGAAGCUUAUACCAAUACUCAAGUCCAUUCUGGAUAUGGAUCCACGGACCAAAGGUUUGAUUAACCCAGCAUAUGUUGAUAACGACCAAGAGGAGUACUACAUGUACACCUCACCAGAUGAAUCAUCUUCCACAUUUGUCUCACUUGACAUCUCUGGUCAGAUAAAGCUGAAUGUUUGGUCGCAAGCCAGCCAGUCUUGGCAAACCAUAUAUGCCCAGCCCGCCGAUGCCUGCACUCCGUCCGCUACCUGUGGAGCUUUCACAGUAUGCAACGGCACUGCACAACCAUUCUGUGACUGUAUGGGGAGCUUCUCUCAGAAGUCGCCGCGGGAUUGGAUGUUUAAUGAUCGAACAGGAGGGUGCAUCAGAAAUACACCGUUACACUGCAACACUAGCAGUAACAACAAAAACAUGACAAGUUCAACAGAUAUAUUCAACCCCAUUGCUCAUGUUACGUUACCCUACAACCCACAAAGCAUAGACGUUGUUACCACACAGAGCAAAUGUGAAGAAGCUUGUCUCAGUUCCUGCUCCUGCACUGCUUAUUCCUAUAGCAACAGCAGAUGCUCUGUCUGGCAUGGGGAAUUGCUUAGUGUAAAUCGCAAUGAUGGCAUUGAUAAUACUUCUGAAGAUGUUCUAUACCUCCGCCUUGCCGCCAAAGAUUUGCCGCCAAGUUUGAUGAAGAACAAAAGAAAACCAAACGUUGGAGCUGUUACCGCUGCAAGUAUUAUUGGUUUUGGGUUACUAAUGCUCAUGGUGUUGUUACUGAUUUGGAGGAACAGAUUCAAGUGGUGUGGUUUGCCUUUGUACAGCAAUGAAGGUAGUUCUGCUGGGAUCAUAGCCUUCAGAUACACUGACUUAGUUCGUGCUACUAAAAACUUCUCCGAAAAGCUGGGAGGAGGUGGUUUUGGUUCUGUAUACAAGGGAGUGUUAAGUGACUCGAAGACUACCAUAGCAGUGAAAAAGCUUGAUGGUGCCAAUCAAGGAGAGAAGCAAUUCAGGGCCGAGGUGAGCUCAAUUGGACUGAUCCAACAUAUCAACCUAGUCAAAUUGAUUGGUUUCUGCUGCGAAGGUCAUCACAGAUUACUUGUGUACGAGCACAUGUUCAAUGGGUCUCUUGAUAGUCAUCUAUUUAAGAAGAGCAAUAAUGCUGAUGCUGCUGUCCUAAACUGGAACACCAGAUAUCAGAUUACCCUAGGAGUUGCCAGAGGGUUGUCCUACUUGCAUCAGAGUUGCCGCGAAUGCAUCAUACACUGUGAUGUUAAGCCAGAAAACAUACUUGUGGACGCAUCCUUUGCUCCCAAAGUUGCAGACUUUGGAUUGGCAGCGUUUGUUGGAAGGGAUUUUAGCCGAAUUCUGACCACAUUCAGAGGAACCAAAGGUUAUCUUGCUCCAGAGUGGCUUACCGGAGUUGCUAUUACACCAAAAAUCGAUGUUUACGGCUUCGGCAUGGUACUGAUGGAGAUCAUAUCCGGAAGCAGGAAUUCACCUGAAACACACAACACUAGCAGCAGCACCAGUUACCACGCUGAAUAUUUCCCUGUGCAAGCCAUCAACAAGCUUCAUGGGGGAGAUGUGAAGAGUUUGGUGGAUCCACGGUUGCAUGGUGACUUCAAUUUGGAAGAGGCUGAAAGGGUUUGCAAAGUUGCAUGUUGGUGCAUUCAAGAUAAUGAGUUUGAUCGGCCGACGAUGGGUGAAGUGGUCCGGGUUCUCGAGGGUCUGCAGGAAAUUGAUGUGCCCCCGAUGCCAAGACUGCUUGCUGCUAUAACGGCGCAACCUGGUGCUGCAUAUUCAGUGUAAUUAAAUUCACAGUCGAUGCUAAUAAUCUUUGUUAAUUUCAGCAAAUUUUAAAGUUGUAGUAAUGUCGAGUGGAAGAAAUAAAGGCAAGCAUUGUAGCAAAAUAUGGCAGAACUACCAAUAUGUGUAUGUUUUGUUGAUUGGAUAGUUCGAUAUAUAUCCUUAAAUCCUUACAUCGAAGGAAGCUGUCGAUUUAUAUGUAUACCACUACUGGUUCUUCAUCGAGAGCACACAUAGCUUGGGCGUGCCUCAUGCUCACUCCAGGAUGUGACCUUCUGACAUGGCACCGGCAGCCUGGCCCCACACUUGCUUGAUGAAAUGUGCGGCAGGCUUCAAUGCUGGCAUGGCUGUGAAGGAAAAAAAGGGUACACAUGAUAGAAUGAAUCCAGGUUGAAGACGGCCAAAGCUGAUAUGACAGUAUGUAAUAUGUUGAUUAUGUCGACAUAUAAAUUCACUCGAUGUGUGCUGAACUUUCUGUUAUGGCCUUCUCUUUUGAGGAUAUGUUUUCCUUGUAAGUUUCUUGGAGAUUGUAGUGAUGAUAGAGCUCUUAUUUCAGAUUCACCAUGUUACAUAAACAAGGAAUGCAUUGCCACUGUUAUUUCAUUCUAUAGAUUGUUAAUGCUCCAAAGUAACUUUGCUAAUCAUGAGGUUAUAACAAACCCGUAGAAGAAAACAACCACAGUAGACGAGAAGGUGUUGCGUAAAGAUGACAUUGACAUUCAUAACCCUGUUAGGAACUUAGGAAGAGCACAGAAGUGCUCUGGCUCCUUCAGUCCAUGCUGACAAAACAGCGAAGAAGCAUCCUCCUACUGUGAAGACAACGCCUUGGGUUUCAAUAAGCAUCCUAAAAUUUGCAAAUCUGGUAAAGAUUCCAACCAGCAGCAAACAACUGUUUCUCUUCUGAUUGCGGCAUUUUUCCCCCCUUUGUACUGCUUGCAUAUGUUCUGAACUUCUGAUGAAUUUAUGUACUGUGUUAGGUCAUGUUUACCUUGGGAGGCAUAGGCAUCUGGAACGAAGCAUGAAGCACAAGCUUCUCAAG